CAGACAGGGGUUGGCUUUAAAUACUAUUUUUUCUACAUUUUCAUCAGUCAUAUUAGUAGCUGUUCUUUGGCAGAAAAAAUGCAUCCUUAAACAUACUGUUUUCUUCCACAGACUUUAGCCCUGCCAUCUGCCUGCCUGGUCUGCUUGUCUUGUUCCCCACCCCUGGCCAAGUGGAGUUGCCUUAAAGAGAUAAAAGUUGUGGCUCUAGUGUCAGUACCCACCCCUUGCUUGGCUCCUCCAGAUGGUCUGGAAACAUAGA
rnacentral:lncRNA from 1 species